ensembl:lncRNA
CUGUGUGUGUGUGUGUGUGUGUGUGUGUGUGUGUGUGUGUGUGUGUGUGUGUGUGUGUGUGUGUGUGUGUGUGUGCGCGCGCUACUGGAAGUUGUAUGUGUGUGUUUGUGUGAGAUAAUGGGUAUGUGUUUCAAGUUUACCUCUAAAGUUUUGUUUCAUUUUGAGGAAUACUUCAAAUAGGAGAGGGCAGUCUAUCUUAACAGUCUCUAACGCUCCAGGUAACACGGACAAUGUUGGACCUUGUUGAUAAAAUACAGUUACUGAACCAGGAUCGAACUCAGGCAGCAUGGCUCCUCAAACCAGGUCAAAUAACCCCCGUGCUCAGUUUGUCAAGUCUUGUAAACAAGAUCGACUUUUCAGAGCUCAAAAAUCGUAUGGUGAUCAAUAGUGACUGUGAUAUAACGAUUGAAGGUUAUUUGAGAGACACCGACUUAGUGCAGCCAACAUCUGUGCUGAAGUCAAGACGUUCGCACGGAUUGGCAAACGAUUUGGUUGUGGAUGAACGUAUGUCAGCAUCAUCUAACUAGAUAGACGACAUUUUGAGCUGGGAUCACAAAUUGUUAGAAUCGUGGGAUGCUUGUGCAUUUUCCCAGGCUCAUGGAAAAAUGUGUGCCAGCGAAUGUAUGGUGACCACUGGAUACAGUGAGUCUGAGGUUCUACCUUCAAACCAAGAAGCUUGCAGUUGCGAGGCGCCUGUUGUUAUAGACAACAGAGUCUUAUUCGACAUGAUACAAAGCGGUUUCAAGACCACUGAGGGCCGUUUUAACACCAUUGAUGGUCGUAUUGAGGCCCUUGAGAAGUGUUUUGCUGUCAUUGAGGAGCGUAUGGACACCUUGUGCUUAUAACCAGUCUUUGACAGAUAUGUUACAAUGACACAGCAUCUCGUAUAAACAUAUUAAAGCUACACAGAGACUCCAUGCUGGGGAGAAUCGACACACUGGUUAUGAUCAAAACCUGACGAGGGAACUGUUAAAGCAGUUUGUACACAUUAAAAACAAACUCGGAUUGUCGAUGGGAGCCAGAGAAAUUCAACAUUAUUUACAGUGUUUCCAGUCAACUUUUUGAGCCCUGUUGAACUGUUUCUCUGACAUGGAACGGCGUGCCACAUGGAACCACCUGCAGUGGUGACAUUCAAUCUGAAAAAAGAUAAUAAUAAACUUAUCAAAUUAUCAAUUAGUUUCUCUCUCUCUCUCUCUCUCUCUCUCUCUCUCACUCACUCACUCUCACUACACACAGUUCCCUAUACAGUUUUCUAAAAUGUAGGUAGAGUCAACAAGGCAGUUAUCUGGUGGCCAGCUGACAGACAUAAAAUGCAGAAAACAAAUAAACAUCUUUGAAAUAUUAAAACAUUCAUGUAUUGUCAGUACUUUUAAUUAUUUCAUUAAUAGGACCUUUUGUGUGAGUGUGUGAAGAAAAUGAUAAAUUCCAAUAUGGGUCAUUUUGACCCCCCUUUAUGCAUUCGUGUAGGUUUUUUGGUUCAUG